ACCUGCAACACACAGGCAUAGUUCGUUUGGCUUCCACCUAAUCCAUCAUCCUGAUAUUCCACUCGAAUAAGUGGAUUCGCCCAUUCAUGACCAGACUAUACUUAAAGCAUCUGUAAUCCGAGAAUCUUUAAGAAUCCCUUCUUGAAAUUAGAUACGUGCCCGGUGGAAUGAUCGAAUGGGAAAUUGUUUCAAGAAAUUGUGGAAUAUUUGAAAUUGUGAGAAACAGUAGCCAAAGGGUUGUCUUUGUGAGGGAAACUAUACUCUAUUUCAUACCAUAAGCUCGUUGAUGUGUUUAUCUAUGUUUGAAGCAGCUUCAGGAACCUUUUGAUGGAAAAGUAAUGAAUACGAUGAUGAGGAAAGAAAAGUUUAUGGCCCUAUUGGAAUUACUAUCUAAAAAAAGAUUUAAAAAGCCAUUUUUAACACAAAUUGAAAGAACACAGGCUUGAGCCUGGCAAUAUUUGUCACUGGAUCGAGUUGACAGUUUACAGGCUUGUAAUUCAACUAAUAUAAUUAGAUAGACAGAAUGCUUCACCUACUUUCUUCGCUAGCUGCAUCUUGCUAAUUACAGAACAGCUUAACCUAGUUGAGAGUUAAAUUUAUCAAGAUUUUCUUGUAAAAAUCACAUGAACAGUCCACAGUAAAGAUCACGAAUUUGUUCCAAAAUGCAAACUUAGCCCAGAUCGUUGAAAUACUCAAAAAUACGUUUUUCUAGAGCCACAAAAUUUGUAUACAAAGUUACAAACUGAUCAUUUUCACUAUUCUAAAAAUUCUAAUUUUAAAUUUUCCACAGAUGUAUGACCAGCCAUAGUCUACCAGUCGCUAUAGUCGAGAUGGCCCUACGACACUAAGCAACAACAUCAUAGUAUAACAAUCCAUAAGCAUCCAGCCAGAACUUAGCCUUAUUUGGUAAUAAGAAAAAUAAAAAAUCCAUAGUUGGAUCGCCCAAAAUUGUUAAAUGCAUAAUUAUCUUCGAUCUAUUAAUUAUUAUAGCCACUACUAAUUACUAGCCCUAUUUCGACCAUUAACCAGCUCAGGCUCAUAAUAAUUAUUUAUGUAAUCAUUAAUUAUUCAAAAAAUGGCUCGAUUUUAUAGGAACAAAAUUUGUUUAAACCUAAAAUAUUCACGAAUAAGUGACAGUAGCGGCCGAAAUUUUCUAUGCAGCUUAUUUCCGCUGGUACCUAAAGCCGCGAAUGAAUAUUCAAUGGGGGUUGCUAUUUCGAGUAGGAUCACGAAGUCCGGAUUUUUCUCGGCGAGUUCGCGCGGGUCGUUGCACCCUCGGCUUGACGUUGGGUGGCGGUUCUAUUUGAUUUCUGGCUAGCAUACAAAACUAAUUAAGGCCAAGACAAACCAUCCGGGACUGGGAUAAAACUUAUUUAUAGAGGCGGCUAAUUUUAAAAACGGCCGAUGGUGUUUUUGCGCAUUGGGGUGCCUCGGUCCCCAAGACCCCCGAUAAUUCGUCGUUCAAUUAAGAAUUCCUGCAACUCGGAUUAUACCCCUGUAUCGAUCGGUCAAUUAUAGAAAGACAUUUCAAAGAAAUUUUACGUUUUUGAAGCAAUCAAAAUUUCAGCGAAUUUGUAUUUUCAGGAAGAUAAGUUAAACGCUUUGUACAACAUUUAAUCAAAACUCUUUAUCCUAUGUUUAACGGGAAAAGAUAGUUUGAGAAUGUGUGACGUGGUAUGUUUGUCGAAAUUGAUGAAAUUUGAUAGAACGAGAAAUUUUACGAACACGUUAUAUCAACAUAUUAUUUAAUUGGAUAAAAGAAGUUUGAGAAUGUUCGAAGACUCGUGUUUGUCGAAGUUGAGUCUUGAACCAUUGGCUAAAGGGAAAUACGUAGCAUACUCUCGGAAUAGUAACAUUUGAUACAAGCACUUACCACACUUGAAGCACAUCUUGUGCCAUUUGAGUCCUCCGGCGACGCGUUCUUCCGCGGCGUAUACGGAUUUGCCGCAUUUGGGACACUUGGGGUGUU